rnacentral:rRNA from 1 species
GACGAACGCUGGCGGCGUGCUUAACACAUGCAAGUGGAGCGACGAACCGGGGCUUGCCCCGGGGCAGAGCCGCGAACGGGUGAGUAACACGUGGGUUACCUGCCCCGUUGACAGGGACAACCCGGGGAAACCCGGGCUAAUACCAGAUGUGCCCUUCGGGGGAAAGGAAGCUUCGGCCUCCGCACCGUGAUGGGCCCGCGGCGCAUUAGCAUGUUGGUGGGGUUACGGCCUACCAAGGCGACGAUGCGUAGCGGGUCGGAGAGGACGAUCAGCCACACGGGGACUGAGACACGGCCCAGAAUCCUAAGGGAGGCAGCAGUGGGGAAUCUGGCGCAAUGCGCGAAAGCGUGACGCAGCGACGCCGCGUGGAGGAAGACGGCCUUCGGGUUGUAAACUCCUUUCAGUUGGGACGAAGCUCCGCCGGUUAAUAGCCGGUUGGAGUGACGGUACCUUUAGAAGAAGCCCCGGCUAACUACGUGCCAGCCGCCGCAGUAACAC